rnacentral:rRNA from 1 species
UCGAGAGGCUUCGGCAAUGGGGGAAACCCUGACCGAGCGACGCCGCGUGGGUGAUGAAGAUCCUCGGAUCGUAAAACCCUGUCAGGUGGGAUGAAAUACCAUUCGGUUAACACCCGAGUGGCUUGACAGUACCACCAGAGGAAGCUCCGGCCAACUCCGUGCCAGCAGCCGCGGUAACACGGGGGGAGCAAGCGUUGUUCGGAUUCAUUGGGCGUAAAGGGCUCGUAGGCCGCUCUGUAAGUCGGAAGUGAAAGACCACGGCUCAACCGUGGAACCGCUUUCGAAACUGCGGAGCUUGAGGCCGGGAGAGGAGAUUGGAAUUCCUGGUGUAGCGGUGAAAUGCGUAGAUAUCAGGAGGAACACCCGUGGCGAAGGCGAAUCUCUGGACCGGUUCUGACGCUGAUGAGCGAAAGCUAGGGGAGCAAACAGGAUUAGAUACCCUGGUAGUCCUAGCUGUAAACGAUGGGCACUAGGU